CUCAAGUCAGUACUCAGCUGGACAUUGGGAAGAGCUGGUUGAUGCUGUGCUGUAUGGCAGCUAUUCUGGAAAUUCCUACUAUAUUGGAUUCAAGAUUUGGCAUUCAAGCUUUGGCUAGAAGUACAAGGAUCCUGGACUAUGUGGAAUAAAUGAUGUCUUGUUGGAUGGAGACUCCAUCUAGGGCUAGUCCAUGUACCUGCAGCAAAUUUGCUGCUUCGUUUUGGCCCCUCAUCUGCUUCUUCCUUCCAAAGGAAGCAUCUUCAUCAGUUACAAAGGCAGGUAGGUGGUGUGAGAACAUAGGAACAUGCUGGACCCCAGUUUCCCAAAUCAGGAUGAGUGCUCCAUCAUGGUCCAGUUUAAUGGGUGACCACCCAUUGAUUUCCCCUAUAUUGUCUGAUGCUCACCUCCUAUUGUUGUAUGAGGCUUUCCUAGGACAGACUGGAUGAUGUAUCAUUGAGACACUGUCUACACGAUCAGAGAACUUGGAAUCUCACAGCCAGUCACUGGCCCCUUAAGGCUCAGUCUGGCCAUGUAAUCCCAACCCCUUCCUCCAAUCAGUUGAAGUUUCCAGCUUCUGGCAGUUUAUCAGCUCUCGGCUUCUUGGCUGACCCUGUGACGUCUGAGUACGAUCUUUUAAUCCAGAAAGAGGCUUAAAGAGUUUACAAACUCUCGGAACGAAGCACAGCCCUGCCGAACCCUGCGUCCUCCCUGGUCUGGAAGACAAUCACAUAGUGCGAGGUGAACGUGUGAACUGAAGACCAUGUGGCAGCCCUACAAAUGUCCUGAAUGGGGACAUGGGCCAAAAAGGCAGCUGACGAAGCCUACGCCUGAGUCGAAUGUGCCUUCACAAUUAAUGGUGGAGGGAUUCCCGACAGGUCAUAAGAGGUACAGAUUCACGAGGUGAUCCAGUUGGAGAGCUGCUGAGUGGAGAUCGGCUGACCUUUCAUGCGCUCGGCCAAGGACCUUGCCGAUCAGUGGGAAUGGGGAGAAGGCAUAGAGAAACUGGCCUGACCAGGACAGGAGAAAGGCAUCGGAGAUAGUGCCCCGUCACGCCCCCACCCCGGAGCAGAAUCGGGGGCAGCGACAGUUCUGCCGAAUCACGAACAGGUCCACCUGGGGAGUUCCCCACACUUGGAAAAGUCUGUGCAUCACCUCUGAGUGGAGAGACCACUCGUGCUGAGAGGAGAAGUCCCUGCUUAAGCGAUCUGCGCGCGCGUUCCGGGCGCCCAGCAGAUGGAAGGCCUGUAGGAGGAUGUUGUGGGCUAUACAAAAAUCCCACAGCCUGAGGGCUUUGUGGCAGAGGGAAGAGGAUUGAGCCCCACCUUGCCUGUUGAUGUAGAACAUUGAGGCCGUGUUGUCCGUGAGGACCCUGACCACCCAGCCCUCCAGGUGUGAGCGGAAGGCCAUGCACGCCCACCGUACUGCCCUGAGCUCCUUGACGUUUAUGUGGAAGGCCCAAAGUUGUGCAUGUGGAGAGGAGAAGCACCAUGUGAUCCCGCACCUGCGACCAGGAGCUGCCCUUGACCAACCAGUCAUCCAGACUGGGGAAGAUCUGGACCCCUCGGCACCUGAGAGCUUUGCCGUCAAAUGGGAGGUCCUGCAGGGAGGUCUGCGCCUCCCUGGACAGCCCAGAGAGCAGGAGCCAUGACGCCCUUCUCAUGGACACCGCGGAGGCCAUGGACCAUACAGCCGUGUCUGCUACAUCCAAAGCUGCCUGCAGGGUUGCCCUGGCAGUCGCUGUGCCCUCCUCUACCAGCGCUUUGAACUCCUUCCUGUCACGCUUCUGGAGGGAGUCCUUGAACUUGGGCAGGGAGCCCCACAGAUUGAACUCAUACCGGCACAGGAGAGCUUGGUGGUUCGCCACCCAUAACUGGAAGCUUGAGGACGAAUACAUUUUCCUUCCAAAAGAGUCCAGCCUCCUUGAAUCUUUAUUUUUUGGGGUAGGGGCUGACUGGCCCUGCCGUUCCCUGUGGUUGACCGACUCGACCACCAGGGAGUUAGGAGCAGGGUGGGUGUAUAAGUAUUCAUGCCCCUUGGCAGGUACAAAAUACGUGCGUUCUGCUCUCUUAGAGAUGGGAACCAAUGAAGCUGGGGUUUGCCACAGGGCAUUUGAAAUUUUUGCUACCUCUUCAUGGAGAGGCAAGGCUACCCUGCCCAGUGCCGAGGAGGACAACACGUUAAACAGGGACUCUGAGGGCUCCAUUUCCUCUGCUUGGAGGUGGAGGCUAGAUGCCACCCUUUUCAAGAGUUCUUGGUGGGCCCUACAGUCCUCCUGCGGGAUGGAGAGAGGAGGGGCCGUAAUCGCCUCGUCCAGGGAGGGUGAGGAGGCCAGCGCGGUACUUUGGGUAUCCACUGGUACUGGAGGGUCCACCACCUGGUUGGUCUCCGGGCACGGUGCCGAGGAUGUAUGUCCCACCGACUCCUUCUUCGGAGGUCUGGAGAGGGAGGCUGAUGGUCCUUCUCAGGCUCUGGCCACCGAGUGAGUCCCCACUGGGGGCUGUGUCGUGGGCUACAGUGCCUACUGGUACCAUUGGGCCAGCCACGGUGCCCAGUGCUACUGCACCUGCUGUGGCACCAGCAGAGCCGGCUGUUCGGCCUGGCUGGCCUGACCCAUCGAUGGACGACUACAAAGGGAGGCUGGGCUGACAUAUGACCUGC